rnacentral:rRNA from 1 species
UACGUAGGGUGCAAGCGUUGUCCGGAAUUAUUGGGCGUAAAGCGCUCGUAGGCGGUCUGUCACGUCGGCUGUGAAAUCCCGAGGCUCAACCUCGGGUCUGCAGUCGAUACGGGCAAACUAGAGUAUUGCAGGGGAGACUGGAAUUCCUGGUGUAGCGGUGAAAUGCGCAGAUAUCAGGAGGAACACCGGUGGCGAAGGCGGGUCUCUGGGCAAUAACUGACGCUGAGGAGCGAAAGCGUGGGGAGCGAACAGG